rnacentral:rRNA from 1 species
GGUCACUGCUAUCAGUAUUCGAUUAAGCCAUGCGAGUCAAAUGUUUUUCGUAAACAUGGCGUACUGCUCAGUAACACGUGGAUAAUCUGCCCUAAGGUUAGGUAUAACUCUGGGAAACUGGUGAUAAUCCCUAAUAAGCCAUUGAUACUGGAAUGUUCUUUGGCUCAAAGCUCCGGCGCCUUAGGAUGAAUCUGCGGCCUAUCAGGUUGUAGUGGGUGUAGUGUACCUACUAGCCGACGACGGGUACGGGUUGUGAGAGCAAGAGCCCGGAGAUGGAUUCUGAGACAUGAAUCCAGGCCCUACGGGGCGCAGCAGGCGCGAAAACUUUACAAUGCGGGAAACCGCGAUAAGGGGAUACUGAGUGCCAGCAUUUAUGUUGGCUGUCCACAUGUAUAAAUAGCAUGUGUUAGCAAGGGCCGGGCAAGACCGGUGCCAGCCGCCGCGGUAACACCGGCGGCCCGAGUGGUGGCCACUAUUAUUGGGUCUAAAGGGUCCGUAGCCGGUUUGAUCAGUCUUCCGGGAAAUCUGACAGCUCAACUGUUAGGCUUCCGGGGGAUCUCUGUCAAACUUGGGACCGGGAGAGGUAAGAGGUACUACAGGGGUAGGAGUGAAAUCUUGUAAUCCUUGUGGGACCACCAGUGGCGAAGGCGCUUACCAGAACGGGUCCGACGGUGAGGGACGGAAGCUGGGGGCACGAACCGGAUUAGAUACCCGGGUAGUCCCAGCCGUAAACGAUGCUCGCUAGGUGUCUGGGACGGUGCGACCGUUUCAGGUGCCGCAGGGAAGCCNNGAAGCGANCCUCCUGGGAAGNCCGGCCAGNAAGCGACUGAAUAUUAAGAGAGAAUUGAGNGGCGAGGAACAUUCACAANGGNUNGANCGUAANAUUUA